rnacentral:rRNA from 1 species
UGGCUCAGGAUGAACGCUGGCGGUCUGCUUAACACAUGCAAGUCGAACGGGGUAGAAAUACCUAGUGGCGGACGGGUGAGUAACACGUGAGAAUCUAGCUUCAGGUUCGGGACAACAGAGGGAAACCGCUGCUAAUACCGGAUAUGCCUGUGGGUGAAAGAUUAAUUGCCUGAAGAUGAGCUCGCGGCCGAUUAGCUAGUUGGUGGGGUAAGAGCGUACCAAGGCGACGAUCGGUAGCUGGUCUGAGAGGACGAUCAGCCACACUGGGACUGAGACACGGCCCAGACUCCUACGGGAGGCAGCAGUGGGGAAUUUUCCGCAAUGGGCGAAAGCCUGACGGAGCAAGACCGCGUGAGGGAGGAAGGGCUCUUGGGUUGUAAACCUCUUUUCUCAGGGGAAUAAGCAAUGAAGGGUACCUGAGGGAAUCAGCAUCGGGCUAACUCCGUGCCAGCCGCCGCCGUAAC